rnacentral:tRNA from 1 species
UGUAGCUCAGUGGUAGAGUACUUGCCUAGCAGGUAUGAGGCCCUGGGUUUGAUCCCCAGUA